rnacentral:misc_RNA from 1 species
AUUUCCCCAAUGGGUUCUCCGGAUUUCUGGAGACUUGUAGGGGUUGUGGGAUUUUUGAUGUGUCGUCUCCGGACGGGCGGUGCAGGGUAGUCGAGUUAGACUUGGUGGAAUUCCGUCGAUAGGAGUUCCGUCGAGUCUGGUCGGCUGUGUGUUGGACGGUGCAGGGUAGGCUGCUUGGAGAUGGUCGGUUCGAGGAUCGAUUCGAGGGCCGGCCUGUCGAUGGUGUGUGAUGUAUGCGGUCUAGGGUAGGCUGGUUUGUCUUGGUUCGAUUUGAUGUCGGCUCCCGUGCAGGCCAGAGUGAGGGGGGUCCAGGGUAGGUACAGGGUAGGCAGCUUAGAUUUGGUUGAUCUGGAGGUCGAUUCUCCGGCUGGCGGAUCUGACAGUGUCGAAACGAGAUGCGAGCGGUGUAGGGUAGGCUAGUUUCGUCCUCGCCAGGUUGCGAUUUGGACGAGAUGUGUGGUUUAGGGUAGGCUCUAGGGUAAGUAGAAUUCGAGUUUCGUCGCCGACAGUUUUCUGUGGGUGUAUGGUAGGUACAGGGUAUGCAAAUCUCUCUCCGGCCAGUACUUGUCUGGUGGUCGUGAGUCGAUUUUUUUGUUUU